rnacentral:rRNA from 1 species
AUAAGACUUUUUUUAAACCGGGGGCGAGAAGCGGCAACAGCUCAGAUUUGAAAUCUGGCCCUUACGGGGUCCGAGUUGUAAUCUGUAGAGGAUGCUUUUGGCGACGCGCCUUCCGAGUCCCCUGGAACGGGGCGCCAGAGAGGGUGAGAGCCCCGUAUGGUUGGACGCUGAACCUCUGUAAAGCUCCUUCGACGAGUCGAGUAGUUUGGGAAUGCUGCUCAAAAUGGGAGGUAAAUUUCUUCUAAAGCUAAAUACCGGCCAGAGACCGAUAGCGCACAAGUAGAGUGAUCGAAAGAUGAAAAGCACUUUGAAAAGAGGGUUAAAUAGCACGUGAAAUUGCUGAAAGGGAAGCGCUUGUGACCAGACUUGCGCCCGGUUGAUCAUCCAGCGUUCUCGCUGGUGCACUCUGCCGGGCUCAGGCCAGCAUCGGCUCUCCCAGGGGGAUAAAGGUCGCGGGAACGUAGCUCUCUCCGGGGAGUGUUAUAGCCCGUGGCGGAAUGCCCUUAGGGGGGGCCGAGGCCCGCGUUCGCAAGGAUGCUGGCGUAAUGGUCACCAGCGACCCGUCUUGAACACGCCCCAAAGGGGAGAAAAAGG